rnacentral:misc_RNA from 1 species
GCAAACUUGGUCAUUUAGAGGAAGUAAAAGUCGUAACAAGGUUUCCGUAGGUGAACCUGCGGAAGGAUCAUUACAGAAUAAACUUGAUGAGUUGUUGCUGGCUCUUAAACUGAGUAUGUGCACGCUUGUCAUUUUUAUCUUUCCACCAUUGUGCACUGUGCAUAGGACUGAAACAUUUUGUUGAUCAAAGUAUUACUUUGGUUAUUGGAAACUGCUGUUGCAUCUUGCACGGCUUUUUCUGCCUCAGUUCCUAUGCGUUUUUCUAUAUACACCAAUGUAUGUUAAUGAACGUCUUCAUAGGCCUUUGUGCCUAUAAAAUCUUUAUACAACUUUCAGCAACGGAUCUCUUGGCUCUCGCAUCGAUGAAGAACGCAGC